UCUCCGUUGGUGAACCAGCGGAGGGAUCAUUACCGAGUUAUCAACUCCAAACCCCUGUGAACAUACCCAACGUUGCUUCGGCGGGACCGCCCCGGCGCCCUCGGCGUCCCGGAACCAGGCGCCCGCCGGAGGACCCAAACUCUUGUUUAAACCAUAGUGGCAUAUUCUGAGUCUCACAAGAAAAAUGAAUCAAAACUUUCAACAACGGAUCUCUUGGCUCUG
rnacentral:misc_RNA from 1 species